GGGGGAGGGGGUCCUUGCCUUGUGUUUGUGUGCUCAUCAUGCGACAAAUGAAGGAUGACAGGUGCACCACCAGUCCCUACAAAUUGAGUCAGCAAGAGAGAGAGGCCAACCAUUGAAGAUAAGCAAAACCGCUAUCGGACACGUGUCCUUCGGAUAUUUGAUUCUUGAAAAUACUAGUAACAGUUUUGGGUUCUUCUCUUGGAAGGCUCAAAAGGGUAGUUGGAAAUUUUAAAGCUCAAAUAGAGAAAGUACCAACAACCUUUAUCCUCAACUUCCCCAAAAAAUUUCAAGAAAGGGAAAAAAAGAAAGAAUAUUCAAUCAAUGGCUACUGCUUCUUCUUUGGGUUCAUCAACACUGUUACAAUCCCAAAUUACUGGAUUUGGCGGGAGUCUUAAGCUUCAAAAGUCUUCUUCUUCUUCCAACCCCAAUUCACUUACGUUUACGAGGAGGAAAGUUCAAACUGUGGUGAAGGCGUCCUCUCGGGUGGAUAAGUUCUCGAAAAGCGACAUUAUUGUUUCUCCAUCCAUCCUUUCUGCUAACUUUUCUAAAUUAGGGGAGCAGGUGAAAGCAGUUGAGGAGGCUGGCUGCGACUGGAUUCAUGUAGAUGUGAUGGACGGUCGAUUUGUUCCAAAUAUAACUAUUGGACCCCUUGUAGUUGAUUCCUUGCGCCCUGUCACAGAUCUUCCAUUGGAUGUGCAUCUGAUGAUUGUCGAACCAGACCAGAGAGUACCUGACUUCAUAAAAGCAGGUGCCGACAUUGUCAGUGUUCACUGUGAGCAAUCUUCUACAAUCCACUUGCAUCGUACAAUAAAUCAGAUUAAAAGUUUGGGAGCUAAAGCUGGUGUUGUCCUCAAUCCUGCAACCCCUUUAACCGCAAUUGAAUACGUCCUUGAUGCUGUUGAUCUGGUGCUGAUUAUGUCUGUAAACCCUGGGUUUGGGGGACAGAGCUUCAUUGAGAGUCAGGUCAAGAAAAUCUUAGACUUGAGAAGAAUCUGCGCUGAGAGGGGAUUAAACCCUUGGAUUGAAGUUGAUGGCGGAGUGGGUCCCAAAAAUGCUUACAAGGUCAUUGAAGCUGGAGCCAAUGCUUUGGUAGCUGGUUCUGCUGUAUUUGGAGCUCCUGAUUAUGCUGAAGCUAUUAAAGGAAUCAAGACAAGCAAAAGGCCUGAAGCAGUUGCUGUAUGAGGUUCCCACCUACUUGGUUCAAGUCGUCAUAACUGUUAAUAUGGAGUUCUCUCUGUAUGACAGCACAAUACAUCGCAGCAAAACAAGAUAGUUGCGAGACUACAAGCAUGUUUUUCUCCACAGCCUAUUGUGGUAAUACAAUAUGUUGUACAACUUUUCUUACAUAGGGAACAGGAUUAUUGUAUACUGAAUAUCCAAUUUCUAAGAUGACUUUUUAUUGAUGUUAAA